rnacentral:rRNA from 1 species
AGUGAACGCUGGCGGUAGGCCUAACACAUGCAAGUCGAACGGCAGCACAGUAAGAGCUUGCUCUUACGGGUGGCGAGUGGCGGACGGGUGAGGAAUACAUCGGAAUCUACUUUUUCGUGGGGGAUAACGUAGGGAAACUUACGCUAAUACCGCAUACGACCUACGGGUGAAAGCAGGGGAUCUUCGGACCUUGCGCGAUUGAAUGAGCCGAUGUCGGAUUAGCUAGUUGGCGGGGUAAAGGCCCACCAAGGCGACGAUCCGUAGCUGGUCUGAGAGGAUGAUCAGCCACACUGGAACUGAGACACGGUCCAGACUCCUACGGGAGGCAGCAGUGGGGAAUAUUGGACAAUGGGCGCAAGCCUGAUCCAGCCAUACCGCGUGGGUGAAGAAGGCCUUCGGGUUGUAAAGCCCUUUUGUUGGGAAAGAAAAGCAGCAGGUUAAUACCCCGCUGUUCUGACGGUACCCAAAGAAUAAACACCGGUUAACUUCGU